UCUCCGUAGGUGAACCUGCGGAGGGAUCAUUACAAGUGACCCCGGUCUAACCACCGGGAUGUUCAUAACCCUUUGUUGUCCGACUCUGUUGCCUCCGGGGCGACCCUGCCUCCGGGCGGGGGCUCCGGGUGGACACUUCAAACUCUUGCGUAACUUUGCAGUCUGAGUAAACUUAAUUAAUAAAUUAAAACUUUUAACAACGGAUCUCUUGGUUCUG
rnacentral:misc_RNA from 1 species